AUUUUAAUAUUAUAAGAAACUCAAUCAAUUUUUGUGUUUGUAUAGGAAGUCAAUGGCAAUAUUAAUCCAGAAGUGAGACAUGAGGAAAAACCAUUGGACGUCAUCCAAAAAAAGGGUUUAAAAUAAUAUUUCGUGGCAAAGUUCUAUAAAAACUUAGAUGUUUCAAGCGAAGUCGAGGGAGCAAGAAAGGAUGCUUGUUUAAGGGAACUUAAUAACAAUCCAGGAGUCAAAUAUGUUGAAAAGCGAUCGGACGCAAUAAAAAGAAAGAUCUAUGAAAAUAAUAGGGAGGCAUUUCGCAUGAUGGAAGGAAUGGAGUGCAAUCCAUUAUCUCCAGAAUUAUACCCCCAAAAAAUGGAUGUCCCCAGUACAUCAGAUGUUGAGAAUGAAAAUUCUCUGGCUCAACCGACGCCAGCAGAGAGUAAACCAGCAUCUCGAGGAAUAUUCCCAAAGAGAAUGGACAUACCGGAUUCAUGCUCGGAUGACAUGUUAAAAUCACACCUUACACCAAUAAACAGUUUUAAACAUUUACAUAGUUCCAAACUCAAUAGAAAAAAUACACCAGAAAACAAAAUUGAACCAUCCACCGCUCAACACACAAUUAUUUUUAAUCGUUUUUUUAAAUUUUAAG